rnacentral:rRNA from 1 species
CCUACGGGUGGCUGCAGUGGGGAAUAUUGCGCAAUGGGCGAAAGCCUGACGCAGCGACGCCGCGUGAGGGAUGAAGGUCUUCGGAUCGUAAACCUCUGUCAUCAGUGAAGAACGGUCACUGUGCUAAUCAGCAGUGAAUUGACGGUAACUGCACAAGAAGCAGCGGCUAAAUCCGUGCCCGCAGCCGCGGUAAUACGGAGGGUGCGAGCGUUAAUCGGAAUUACUGGGCGGAAAGCGCACGUAGGCGGUAUGUCAAGUCAAGGGUGAAAUCCCCGCGCUCAACGUGGGAACUGCCUUUGAAACUGGCAAACUGGAGUGUGUGAGGGGAGAGUGGAAUUCCAGGUGUAGGAGUGAAAUCCGUAGAUAUCUGGAGGAACAUCAGUGGCGAAGGCGACUAUCUGGCACAUAACUGACGCUGAGGAGCGAAAGCGUGGGGAGCAAACAGGAUUAGAUACCCCAGUAGUC